rnacentral:rRNA from 1 species
GACGAACGCUGGCGGCGUGCUUAACACAUGCAAGUCGAACGGAAAGGCCCUGCUUUUGUGGGGUGCUCGAGUGGCGAACGGGUGAGUAACACGUGAGUAACCUGCCCUUGACUUUGGGAUAACUUCAGGAAACUGGGGCUAAUACCGGAUAGGAGCUCCCGCUGCGUGGUGGGGGUUGGAAAGUUUCGGCGGUCGGGGAUGGACUGGCGGCUUAUCGGCUUGUUGGUGGGGUAGUGGCUUACCAAGGCUUUGACUGGUAGGCGGCCUGAGAGGGUGACCGGCCACCUUGGGACUAAGGUAGGGACCAGAGUCCUACAGGAGACAGCAGGGGGGAAUAUUGCACAAUGGGCGGAAGCCUGAUGCGGCAACGCCGCGUGCGGAAUGACGGCCUUCGGGUUGUAAACCGCUUUCGCCUGUGACGAAGCGUGAGUGACGGUAAUGGGUAAAGAAGCACCGGCUAACUACGUG